UACGUAGGGUGCAAGCGUUAAUCGGAAUUACUGGGCGUAAAGCGUGCGCGGGCGGUUUUGUAAGUCUGUCGUGAAAGCCCCGGGCUCAACCUGGGAAUUGCGAUGGAGACUGCAAGGCUAGAAUCUGGCAGAGGGGGGUAGAAUUCCACGUGUAGCAGUGAAAUGCGUAGAGAUGUGGAGGAACACCGAUGGCGAAGGCAGCCCCCUGGGUCAAGAUUGACGCUCAUGCACGAAAGCGUGGGGAGCAAACAGG
rnacentral:rRNA from 1 species